rnacentral:rRNA from 1 species
GAUGAACGCUGGCGGCGUGCCUAAUACAUGCAAGUCGAGCGAACAGACGAGGAGCUUGCUCCUCUGACGUUAGCGGCGGACGGGUGAGUAACACGUGGAUAACCUACCUAUAAGACUGGGAUAACUUCGGGAAACCGGAGCUAAUACCGGAUAAUAUAUUGAACCGCAUGGUUCAAUAGUGAAAGACGGUUUUGCUGUCACUUAUAGAUGGAUCCGCGCCGCAUUAGCUAGUUGGUAAGGUAACGGCUUACCAAGGCAACGAUGCGUAGCCGACCUGAGAGGGUGAUCGGCCACACUGGAACUGAGACACGGUCCAGACUCCUACGGGAGGCAGCAGUAGGGAAUCUUCCGCAAUGGGCGAAAGCCUGACGGAGCAACGCCGCGUGAGUGAUGAAGGUCUUCGGAUCGUAAAACUCUGUUAUUAGGGAAGAACAAAUGUGUAAGUAACUAUGCACGUCUUGACGGUACCUAAUCAGAUAGCCACGGCUAACUACGUG